GCGGCGGGCGCGAGCUCCGGCUCCGUACACCCCGCACAGCCCUGGGCGCUAACCGCGGGCACCGGCCUCGCUGUCCCCGCACAGUCCGAGCGCAGAGCCCACUCCCCGCGGGCGGCACAGCCCGGAGCCACCUCAGGACUCCUGAGGCUCGCGCUCGCGAGAGUUGCGGGCGCAGGGCACAGAUGCCCCAAUAUGGAGCCUGCGCGGCGCUGUCUCGCGAGAGCGGCGCUGAGGGCGGUGGGGCCGGGCACGCGCCGAACGCGUCUCGCUUUCCCCCAAGCGAGCGCCUGGCUUCUCCCUGGGCUGUUCUAAAAGUAAAAAGAAAAGAAAAAUCGAUAAGAAAGCUUAGUUAGGGCAGCACAGGGUGAGUAACUGCCUGACAGGGUGUAUCUCAGCACGAAUGCUCCUGAAGCCUUGCAAGUUGGUAUGAAUUGUUCCUGUGAACUUCCCAAGGAUGUUUUGUUCCCUUCCAGAGGUGUAAAGUCAGGGGUGUUGGGGAGAGCUAAGCUCGCAUUGCACGUAUUUCCCAGUGUCCUGAUCCUUCUCUGUCUUUUUUGAGAAUAAGCUACUUCUGGAUACUUUUCAAAAGGCCUUGUGAUACCAAAGAUGCAGAUGUGUUUGCUUCCAAGUGCAUGCUUAAGUCUCAACUAAUUAAGUGUAGCAGGUUAAGCUAAUUUUGGAGUGGAAGCCAUGGUGUCUUCACCAGGUAGUAAGUUCAGAAUAUCACUGCAAAUAAUUGAUGUUGGGAAUAUGUGUUCAAGGCCAUUUAGCUUUUCAUCUCAAGCUUUAGAAAGGUGAAUUGUUAGCAAUACAGUGCAAAGUAGACACGUUCUGAAUGGGUUAUGGAAGCUUGCUUUUAAAACAUUUGGCUUCCCAUAUCAAAAACCUUCUUUUUCUCUGUAAAAAGUGGCACCCUGUCCUAUGGUGCUGUAAAUCAUUGAAGCCCACAGGAGUAAACACUUAAGAGUUACCACUGCUUCCACCUAUACAGUAACUACUUCUUGCUGUGUUAGGGCUCUUAACACCUUUAAUUUGCAGACUCUUGCUUCCUGUUGGUAUUGCUUGUUGUAUGACUUUGUCUUGAAAAGGGUGAUUGUGCUCAAGCAUGUCAGACACACCUCACUCUCUCUGUGGUUUGGAGAGACUGGGGCAUGUGUAUGUGUAUGAGACAGUAAAUAUAAUGCUGGAGUCCCUGCUGUGAUAUCAGAAGAAACAGGUCUCAGUGAUCAUGGUUUUGUUUCUUUGUUUUGUUUUGUUUUGGCUUUCAAUAUUGCACUUUUCUUUCUGAAUCUCUUUUUGGAUCCAGCCUGGACUCUAAAUGGUCAUGGCUUUGUCUGCUCUGCUAAAUCCUCCUGUGAAAGUAAACACAGAUCUCUUAUUCAUAAUUUAUUUGGGCUUUGUUUCAGUGUAUACUGAAACUUGUUUUGGGACCAUGACAGGGCUUGAGACUCAAGACUGAGACACUGGGUGAGGUUCUCCAAGGUGUGGUGAGCUAAUCUGUCAACCUGCUGCUGCCAAAAGGGACAGAACCUCACAGGGAAAGGAAAGCAGGGGAGCAAACCUUCUCUUUCGGGAUAACGAGCUCUUUCAUCAGCUUAGCCAUGUAUGGUACUGAAGCCUAAAACUAUGAGUCUUGUCCAACUUAAACUGCUGUAAAGGAAUUUUCUGGUGAUAAAUUCAGGCAAACAGAGCUGUAGUUUGAGUUACUGUUAUGUUUUCUAGUUUUCAAUAACCAUGAAAACUUGUCAACAAGAUUACUUUCUCUAGUAGUGAGAUCCUUUACAUUGUGCAAAAGCCUUCUGUUCCAUCGCUGUCUUUUUAUAUCUUAAAAAAUGUAAGAAGGAGAUUGGAUGAAAUUCUGAAGUCAGAAAAACAAAAUCACUUGAUGGUAAGGGUUGAAUUGUAUAUAUAAUUAUGAAAUGUUGUGUAGAGUUAAGAGUCUAUCCAUCCAAAAUUGCCUGAUGCAAUAAAAUACAUUUUGUCCAGAAUUCAAAGGGAGAAUUUUGCUAAUAUUGUUGGAAACUUUAUCUCUGCACUCGAUGUUUAAUAAGAAAACCUCUUUUAUUUCUUCCUCCAGCUCAUUGUUUAAGAAAAAUGUCUGCCUUGCUUUUUCAUGAUCUUUUCCCUAUUUCUUUGCCACUUCCCUUUUCAUGUGUUUUCUCUGUUCUCCAUUUUGUAUCCACUUGUCAGCAGAGCCACUCUUGACUGUGAAAUUAUGGAGAGGGAUGCAGCUCUAUAAUGUUAAUGUGAGUCCUCGUAGUCAGUGUUCACAGUUCAGGGAUGCCAGAAGCCUCACUUAUAUUUGGUUUGUAAAUUAAAAAAACAAACAACCAACAUUGCUAGGGAAUUAAAAGGCGGAAGAAGGAGCACUGUGUGGUGGGGUUAGUCAAAGUUUAGCUACUGGAAAUUCUGAUUCAAACACAUACAUGGGAAAUAAAUCAUGCAGAUCAAGUCCGGAUUUAACCCACUUACUAAAUAACAUAAUACAGGAAACAUUUGUCUAGUUUUGGGGAGGUGGGAUAAGUUUGUUUAUUUUUGCUUCCCAGAUGCAGUGUUUAUAUGGUUUUCUUCUAGGUCAGAACAAGAGGAAUCAAAAUACCAUCACCUCUUUUUUUGCAAUUUUAAUUAGGUCAAGUAAUUGAUGUAUCCAGUGCUCUGGACUUCUCCAGUGACAGGCUAUCAUGUGAACAGCACACAGAGUAUUUGUGAUUCAUGUGAGUGGAAUGCAAGAGCACAGAGGUGCCUACCUGGGACUGAUGGUGUGUGCCAGCUCUGGGAUAACACCUGUGCAGGUGCCUGCAGAGAGCAAACAGAGCAAACCAUGGUGGUCGCAUGACGUCACACAAAAGCAUUGCAGAGACAGAGGUUGUAAAAGGAAUUGUUUAUCUCUUCAGCUUCUCCUGUGGAAGGUUCAGGAGGAUCACAUUUGAGAUGUUCCCUGUCCUAAACUGGCCUGUUUUCAUACUGGUUCAAAGAUUGGAUCUUGAGUGGUUGAAAUGUUGGUGUGUUUCAGAUUUCUCAGGGUAAGCAGAGAGGAAAAAAAUACUCAAGCUUCCCGUUUGUAUAUCAUGGUUUUCAUAAGUUAUCUCCUGUGUGGGUUUCUGUUCUUUGUAAUGUCAUCAGGUUAUGUGGGAGCUUUAAGCUUGGAAGUUCCUUGAGUCAUUAGCAAUUUAUUUGCAUAUUUGCAGGAAAGUAACUUUCUCGUAAUCAGGUAUUACAUGGUAUCAUUUCAAGGACAGGACACUACUCAAAAUAUAAAAGUAAUAGCAGCAUUUUCCUGUAAGCAAAGUGGCAUGGUCCUUAAAAUCCACCUUGCAAAAUCAGGUCUGUUAGAUAUUCACAGACAUAACCAUCCCACUUAAAGGUGGCCUUACUGAACAGUUGCUGUGGUUCUUUGUCUAAUUUCUAAUUAGCAAGAGCCAUGACAGAAAAUGUCAUUGGCUUUUGCCACUAACUGGCCUAACUUUAUCAGGUUCUCAACUGAAAUUUUCAUAAACAUUAUCACAUUUUCAGCAGCAAAAUUGUACUUGAAAACAGUAACCAAGGAUACAAAAUUUAUUUGAUUUUAGAAACAGAUUUUUACUUUCUGGGGCUUUUAGGAGUUUGACUGACUAGGUUACUCCUACCAAAUUUGAAUGACUUCCUUGCUGCUUCUUGAAGCUCCAUGACAGAUGUUAUAUUUGAGACUUCAUAUCAUAUCUGGGUGAGGUUUAUUUUGUACCAUGAAAUGUUUCUGCAGGACUUGGAGGUUUUGUUCAUUACUGCUUCGAAAUAUUGGUAAGAUGUCCUGUCUUUUUCAUUUAACAGGCAGAUGUUAUUUAGGUGAGAAUCCAGACCUCCAGAUUCUCACUUUAUUGUUGUUCCACUCCUGCAGCUGCUUUGUGGUGAGAAUUUCACCAAGUUAGUCAAGUUUGCUUUGUUCUCCUGAGGAUGGGAGCUGGCACAACUCCUGUAGCACAGAGUCCUGUGCAGAGGAGAUGGCUGGAGGCUUGUGGAGGCGUCUCCUGCAUAAAAAAACAGUGCAGGCAGCUUCACAUUUACCCCCCAGGAUGUCACUGUGAAUCAUGGGCCCUGAUGUUCUCCAUAGUCCUCUCCAUGUAGUUUCUUGCCAUGAUUUAAUGUUUGAUGAGUUUAUGUCUGUAGUUUGUUCAGACGCUAACUUAUUAAAAUGUUGUUUACAUGAGAGAAGGCCCUUCACAUUAUCAUAAUGUGUAGAGGUCUGGCCUGUCAGGUAACUUGGCAAUUUCUUCUCUUUUUUUCAGUCCUUCUGGCAGCUCAUUAUAAUGGGUCAUGUUUUUGUGCUCUAUAUUAAAAUCUUGUUGUGCAUCUGAUGAAUUGAAGAUUUUACUCGUAAAAUGGUAAGACUCCGAAACUUUCAGACAGGACUUUGAAAACUUUAGGUACUUACACAGAAACAGUAGAAGCUAUUUGUAUAUGUGAUUGAUACAUAUGAAUGAAAGUAGACUGUCUCAUACUGCACAGACUGAUGGUGAGGGGAGGAGAAGAAUGUGUGGUUUUCAAGGCAAAUCUUUGUAGCAACAUCUCAUGCAGUUCCAUCUUCUGUCAGAUCUAGGCUCAUUCAGCAUCCUAAUUUCAACUAAACAUUGUCCCCUAAUGGUUCUCUUGAUACUUUUUUAGGCCCUACAGUUGUGAAAAAUUGCAUGGAGGCCUUGACACUUACUGCAUCAAUAAUAUUUUGGCUGGCAUCAUUCACAUAGAGGAUGAAUCUAUUUUAUAUCCUUAGUGGUAUUUCCCUAUGUGCAUUUUUUAUACAACUGUAAGGAGAAUACUGUCUGCAGUCUACAAAUGCUGGGAUGGAGUUGGGGGUCGCUUUGCUUAGUGCUCAUUUUCUCUUUGUAUUUCAUUCAAAGGUUAUUUAGGAUGUAACAGUCCUAACAGCUGGCUGUCACUGUGAGUAGUUUUUGUUGACUGGUAUUGACUUAUCUCCAACACUAAGUUUUGAACAUAAGUGAAAUGUUUUACCUGUACUUCCUGGUGUGGUUUUGCUUCUUUAUUUAUUUUCCUCUGUGUUUUAUAGCCUCUGUGUUAGAAUCACAGAAUCUCCUGUGUCAGAAGGGACCCCACAAGGACCAUCCAGUCCAACCCCUGGCCCUGCACAGACACCCCAACAACCCCACCCUGGGCAUCCCUGGAGCAGUGCCCAAAUGCUCCUGGAGCUCUGGCAGCCUUGGCGCUGUGCCCAUUCCCUGGGGAGCCUGGGCAGUGCCCAGCACCUUCUGGGGGAAGAAACUUCCCUGGUAUCCAACCCAAAUUCCCCUGGCUCAGCUCCAGCCAUUCCCUCAGGUCCUGUCCCUGGUCAAAGAGAGCAGAGAUUGGUGCCUGCCCCUCAUGAGGAAGCUGCAGAUCCCUGAGGUCUCCUCAGUCUCCUCCAGCUGAACAAGCCAAGUGACCUCAGCUGCUCCUUGACCCCUCUAGAUUCUUCAUCAUCUUCUUGUUCCUCAUGUGUUUUCUAACAGCUUUCGAUCUUUCCUAUAUUGUGGCACCCAAAAGUGCCCUAGCACUCAAGGCCACACCAGCACAGAGCAGAGCAGGAUAAUCCCCAUCUUUGACCUCCCAGGACAGGGAUGUCUCUCCUGGCUACCAAGACACUGCUGACCCAUGUUCACCUUGCCAUGACCAGGAUCCCCACGUCCCUUUCCACAAUCUGUCCCUACAUCCAGGGUUGCCCUAUCCCAGGUGCAGAACCCAGCACUUGGCUUUGUUAAACUUCAUACAGCUGUGAUUCCCAAGCCCUCUAAUGUGUCAGCACCUCUCUGCAGAAUCUCUCUGCCUUCAAGGGAUUUGACAGCUCCUCCCAGUUUAGUGUUGUCAGCAAACUUACUCAGUAUACCUCCAAAUCUCCUGUGUCCCAGUGGUUUAUGAAGAUGUUGAAGAGAAAUGGACCUAAGAUGGAGCCCUGCACAUACCAGACUUUGGGAAGAUUUUUUUUUUUUGACAGCUGUGUCAUCAAAGAAAAACUUCUUUCUUACUCUUUAUGAUGUGGUGCUGGCUGCUUUGGACAGGCAUAAAAAGUUAGGCAAGGUAGAAAAAAACCAGUUAGCUGAAGUCCAGCUGAACAGCACAAGGUCGAAUAUUUGGCUUGACAUUUAAGCCUUCACGUUAAAUUAUCCUGCCAGUAACUUAAAUAUUACCAUGGAGUUGAGGAAAUGGGGCUGGGCAGAUCCUCCUUUGAAUUCUCCAUUUUUUCCUAAAUGUAAUGGAUCAAUAAUCCAAUUUGUUUCUUUGAGUCCUGUGUUCCUGUUUGGGAAAAGACAUCUUUGUGUGCAAGCUGGAAAGACAUCCUGCUGAGUUUUCCUUGUUGCUGUUUUUAUUUCUCUGGCAGAGUGAGGACCAUGCCAGUGCAGGGCAAAAGCUCCAAAUUUUUUAUUUCCAGAGAUUACUGCACCAGCUGUCUUUGGGCUGAUGGGGGAAGUGAAGGACAGAGAUAGCUUGAUUUCCUGAAGAAGUGGAGUUGAUGCACAUGCCUUUUCAGUCAGUAUUCUGCAAUAAUUUUUAAGUUUGGCUGUCUCAGCCAAGUUUGAAUAUAGGGCAGGUGGCUGGAAGUUCCAGAAAAAGCAAUUGUUCCGAGUAAAAUAUUCCAGUAGCUGCCCCAUCUAGGGAAAGAACCCAGUCUUGGUUAAUCAUCCUGUGCUGGGGUCCUACACCUAAAGGAGGCAGGAAGGAGGAGAAAAACCUCCCUAAAUCUGCAGGAAAGCAGGGUUCAUGAGUUCUGCUGCUCAUGAAACAAUUGUUUAACUCCCUUACCUUGACAUUGUACAAAAUAGUCUAAUGUAAGGAUUUUUUUAAUGUAAGACCUUUCAGACUCUCUCCCAUAGAAAAAGGUUCAAAGAAUGAAGGUGACAGUAAAUAUUCAGCAGUCUCUCUUUAAUGCAGGUGGUGAGAUGGUUGGAGCAGCCCCCAGACAGGAGGUGACUGUUUCCCCAGGAGCCCCCUUUGAGAUGAGGCUGGGCAGGGAAUGCAGCAGGGCCCCACAGCAGCUUGGGGGUGUCAUCUCCAGCAGUCCCUGUGAGCUCAGGUCUCAAGAGCUGGGGAUUUGGGCUGUCCUUUGCUCCCAUGCCAGCAGGGCCCUCUUGCUGCUCAGAUGGUGUCACCUUUUUAUGGGAACUGCACUUGACCACCUUGACAGUCUGGCCACCCUUGGGUAAGAGUUAUAUCCAGAUAUUAACCUAGCUUUUUGAGAAGAAUAAAUACUUUUUCUCUGCAAAAAACUGUCAACAAAAUUCUAUGUGAAGGGCAAUGCCAGAGAUCUCAUGCUGAGCCCAGAAUAAAACAGAGCCAAGCUCUUCCCAGCAGCGUGAUACUCCACCCCUUCAAUUGGUUUUUCAGGACCCAGGCUGGAGAAAGAGAUGGAAGUAUACCAGCAAUCCCUGAAGGACAGCUGCUGGGGGAUUCACAUUUCAAUAGAGAGGAGAAAGUCCUGUUCUGAAAUAGAGGAGAAUGGAGGAAUAUAUUCCCUUUGUUCUGAAGAGGUACGAAAAUUGUAGACUGAGCACUUGAGAUGAAUACACUCCGCACUUGAAAAAAAAAAAAUCUGCUUAGUUAUAUUGUCUGUAGAUCAGCCAUGGAGUUUGAUGCAGUGAUGUCAGUACAAAAAUGUGACCUAGGUUUACUAGCUAGCCCAGCUACACCACCAAUACACAUCACAAGGCUUCACCAUAUCCUGUCUGAAGAAUUCUCUCCUGGCACAAAUUGCCUUGUGUGAAGAGCUGCAUGUAAUUAUUUUUGAUGGAUGGCCAGCACUGUGAGUAUAUACAAUUCAGACACCAUUUUAGGGCAAAGGUUGAAUUCAAAUGAUGGAUCUUUUGUAUACUGAUCCUGUGCUCUGGGCUAAAUCUGUUAAUAUGUGAACAGAUCUAAGUUUUGCUGUUGGACAUUUUGUGGUUUCUGGGUGUGCAGUAACAGCAAAGUUGCUCCUCUGAAUUCUGUUCCUCCUGGCUUUUAAAUUGUAGCAAUGAUGUGAUGGCUAAUUUGAAUAUUAAUAUUAAAUUAUCUGUAGUUUUCAACUGGAUUCUUUUAACAUUAUUUUUAUUUUUUGCCAUUUAAAUUUCAACUGCUUCCAGGCAGUUUCUAGAUGGAAGCCACAGUACUGCAGUGCAAAAAAUGUAAUGGUAAAGGAUUUUAGUGCCCAUUACUGUGUAGAGUCUCUUACUGCAGAGGAAACAGAAUCCUGGAACUUCUUGGACUGAAAGACAGGAAAAACUGAAGGCCCAAAUGGUAUUGAGUAAUUCUCAAACCACAUAUGCUUCCCUACAUUGUUCUGGAUGGUGGCUUCAUGCCAAGCUCCUCUCAGCUAUGUUAAAAAUGAGUAAUGUAAAACCCAUGAAAAGCAUAGCCCUCAUUUCCAGAUUCUAUUGGCUCUCCUGUGGCAGCCUUGAUUUAAGAUGAAAUGUAUUCCUAGCUAUUGGCACCAUGAAAGGUCUCCACUGAAAACUUAGAUGAUUUUUUUUUUUUUUCAUCUUAUUCAGCAAGGUUCCAAUCCUUCCUACCACAAUGAUCGCAGAGUUUAGCACUAGGGGACAAAUCAGAUGUCAGAAUGUUAGCGUGCAAGUUACGGGUAUUCAUGUUGCAAAACAAAUAUCCUGCUGAGAGAAAGUCCAGCCAAUCCUGAUCUUUUUCUCUUACAGGUGUGCAGUGCCAUAACAUUGUUCCCACAUAUGGACACAAGUCUUCUGUAUUCAGCCAAGCACAAAUCCCUGGACAUGGGCUGGGAAGUGAAAAAGCACCUGCUUUAUAGCCAGAUAUUCCACCUCUAACUCUAAAAACCCACAGAAGUCAGAGUUUAAAGGCCUGUCUAUAAUUUUUGUUGGCAGCCUGAUAGUUGCAACAACUCCAGUUUUUUCGCAUCCAGCAGUGUUCUAAUGUUCUUCCCAGCUGGUGGGAUGCCACGAUGCUUUCCUGGCAGGGCUUGCUGCAGAAACCCAGGCUGCUUUCCCACUGCACUGAACUAGAAGAUACAGAUCCCCAGACAUGCACGUGAUCAUUACUGAUGCUGCAGUCUACAAAUUGUGGUUUUAUUCCAUAUCCCCUGUGGUUUUAUUCACAUGGUUUAUUCACAUAUUUCUGUACGCUUGUACAGAAGUAGCUACAGAAGACAUAAAGCAACUGAGGAACCUCAAAUGUUGUGCAGAGCAUGGCAAGGGCAGUUCUUGGAGCCGUACAUAGCAGUGUGUCACUCUGCACUGGGAAAAUUGGAGGAAGGACCAGAUAAACCACAUAGAUAAGAGCAGAGUCUGGGAAAUUUAUUCUGCACUAAAAAACAGUGCCAGGCCAGUUCUGAAAAGAUGGGCCUAUCUUGGCUUAGGCCUGGCUCAACAAACCUUUGAUGGUGCUAUUCUCACUGUGUUUUCUACCCCGAGUUAGAAAAGUGUGGAAGAACAAGGGGGAAGAUGCUGAGUAGGCUUUUUUUCUUGUCAUCAUAGCAGAACUCAGGGGGAGGGUGUCCUCAUUCAGACUGGUGGCAGCUACUGCUCAAGGGAAUACAAUGCUAGCCUGUACAUGUGAUUCACUGUGGCUUUCCAAUUCCAGGCAUGGCUCUGUCAUCCCCACAUGAAGAAACUGUAGGGAACAAAACGAUCUGUCAGGUGUUAGAAAGCAAAUUUGAGAAGGUGAAUAAGGAAGGCACUUAGCAGCCAGCUGGUGCACCAGGCAUUCAGACUGCGAGAGGAAAGUAGCUGCCACUCACCCGCAUGCCCAAUUGACGUUAGCUGUCGUCUGGAAAGAGUUGAGCCACAGCUUCCUUGUGCUGCUACCUGUUGUUGGUGCUGCUCUCUGUGGGAACUCUUGUGCUUUCCCUCAGGCUCCGAGAUGCAGAGAAACAGCCUGUGGAGUGCAGAGGCCUGUCACAAAAAGUGUGGAAGAGAGUGCUGCAAAUCCAUGUUUGCGCAAGUUUAAGGGGUAAGCUGCGCAAAUAUGUGUAGUCCUGGCAAACGUUCUCCUCGUCAGACACCGUAGAAAAACUUUGCGCUUCCAUGAAGACAAAGAGACGUAGAAGCUCGGACUCAGGAGCUCGGAGAAAGUAACGGCAAGCGGCAAGCCUCUUUUGUUAGAAGCAGUGCUCCAGAGUGCUUGGCAACCGGCAGGAAGAAUGAUGUGUGACAGAAGAUGCCACUUUGGGACUGGCCGCUUGAAAGGAAGGGCAAGUACUGCAAAAAGGCGAAUGCGGAGGGCGCUUACCAUCAAGCUUGUGCGCCAAGCUUUUGGACUGCGAGAGGAACGUACCUGCCAGCCGCCCGCAUGCCCAAUUGAUGUUAGCUGUCGUCUGGAAAGAGUUGAGCCACAGCUUCCUUGUGCUGCUACCUGUUGUUGGUGCUGCUCUCUGCGGGAACUCUUGUGCUUUCCCUUAGGCUCCGAGAUGCUGAGAAACGGCCUGUGGAGUGCAGAUGCCAGGCACAGGAAGUGUGGGAGAUAGUGCUGCAAAUCCAUGUUUGCGCAAGUUUAAGGGGUAAGCUGCGCAAAUAGGUGUUGUCCCGGCACACGUUCUCUUUGUCAGACGCCGUAGAAUAUCUUUGCGCUUACAUGAAGACUGAGAAACGCAGAAGCUGGGACUGCGUAGCUCAGAGAAAGUAACAGCAAGAGGCUCAGUGCAAAUCCGUGUUUUCGCAAGUUGCAGGACUGAGCUCCACCAAUAUGUGGUUUUGAGCACACUCUGGUGGACUGAGUCUGAUGCAAAAAGCCCCAAAGCUCUGAGAGGCUCAUGAACGUCGUGGUGUUGUGACUGCGCUGCUGAGCUGGGCCAGGCUCCUGGCCCAGAGGCAGCUCCUGGCAAGGGCAGCACUGCAGAGCGGCAGCUGUGGCCAGGAGCAGCUCCUGAGCACAGCCCAGCAGGGCACCUCAGGGACACGAGCAGGCCCAGACAGAUCUCCCAGGGGCUCAGCAGUGGCAGGGGCUGCGCAAUGUCCCAGAGGGGCCUGUGUCCCAGUGGCACCUCUGUGGCUGUGUCAUGGAGCCCCAGAGCAGCUGUGAUGUCAGAAAGGGGCUGUGUGAUGGCUCCCAGAGUGGCUUGUGCGAGGACACUGAGCAGCCACGGCCUCAUAGAAGGCGCAUAGUGACAUCACAGUGGUUCUAUGAGAUGAUAGAAUGAGUUGCAAUAUCACAGGGUUGCAUGUGACGUCCCAAUAUGAGAUGUAUGACGUCACAAGGAGAGCUGUGUGGCAUCACAGAGCAGGCUGUGACAUUACAGAAGGGACUAUAACAUCAUGCGUUAGAUAGAUGACAUCAGCGAGAGGGUUGUGACAUCCAUCAUUGAUUGAUUGUGUGACAUCAUAGAGCAGGCGGUGAAGCUACAUGGUGAUGAUAUGAAAUCCUUAGGUGGGCAGAGACAUCAUAGAAUAGCCAGGUGACAUCUCAGGACAGGUUGUAUGAUACCACAGUGCCAACUGUGACAUCAUAGAGUGAGCUGGGACAUCCAGUGUGGCUAUGUGACAUGAGAGGAGGCUGUGUGACAUCACAAGGUGGUUCUGUGACACAUGAGAGGGAGUGUGACAUGCCAGAAGCAGCGGUCCGGAGCCCUUGGCAGCCGGCACGACAGACGAUGUGCGCCAGAAGACGCCAAUUUGCACCUGGGAGCUCGUAAGCGCCAGAGCUGCCAAAAAGUGAACCACGGCACGAAGCAGCCAGCUUGUGUGCCAAGCUUUCGGACUGCGACAGGAACGUACCUGCCAGCCGCCCUCAUGCCCAAUUGACGUUAGCUGUCAUCUGGAAAGAGUUGAGCCACAGCUUCCUUGUGCUGCUACCUGUUGCUGUUGCUGCUCUCUAGGGGAACUCUUGUGCUUUCCCUUAGGUUGCAGAGAGACGCCCUGUGGAGCGCAGAAGCCUUUCAGCUUGUCUUGGUUUGAAAAGACAUGUAUCUGCUAAGGAAAGCAGGAACUUCCCUUGAUAUGGAAGAAUGUAACCUCCCUCGAAUUAUUAUAAUCUUGAAAUUAAGGGGCUUGCAGACAAAGAUAUGGGAAUUGAAAUAACAGUGCUUUACUAUGAAAAUUAAAAUGUAAUACAAAAAAACACCACCAAAAGCAAACAAAACAAAACCAAAAAAACACUGAUAGAGUCAGAGUACAGGCUGACACUCUGUUGGGCAGGGUGCUGGGAGCAGUCCCAUUAAAUGGUGGCUGCAGUCCUGGGAUGACAGAUGUGGUUUGUUGGAACAGUGAUCCUGUAGAUGGGUGUAGUUUUCCUCUGAAGGUCCAGUGGUGGUGAAAUGGGUUUGGUCUCCUCUGGCAAUCCAGUGGAGAAAUGCUGACUCUGGUGCUCUAAAUCCCAGAUUAUAUCCAGGUAGGAAUGCUUGGCUCCUCCCACUGGGUGGAGCAUCUCACAAUGGGAUGAUGGAAUUGUAUCAGUCAUGCAGUGAGGCUCAAUUGUCCGUUAACAGAAAAGAUCCCCCUGGAGUUAUGAGGGAUGGGUCAUGGAAGAGAUAAAGAACACUGCCACAGCUGAUUUUAACAGCUGGCAAUAGAAUACAGACUUUUGGUUACAUCUUGCAUUGCAGCCCAAGACACCCAGCUCAACCUUCCCUUCAUCACUUAUUCAGCAAUGGCUGAAAUUUGCCCCUCUGUUGUGAUAUCACAAAAUCUUGUGUUAGCUUCUCCCAGAGAACUCUUUGCAGAACAGGCAGAUGUCCUAAACAUCUGAUACUUGUAGAAUACAGCAACAAUUACGAAUAUGAAAAGGAUUUUUCUGACUUCCAAAGUUGCACACACACAUACUUGCCUUUCCAUGAAGAUAUCCAUAAUCCAGUGCCAAAGAGCCCAGGUGUGGGAAUGCUUCAAAAUGUCCUAGAAAUUAAAAUCACACCAGAGACAGCUGUAGCUAUCGUCCUAGCUGAUGGCUGUGACUCCCUCUGUGGCUCCCUGACAGGAGUAGGGGAUCAGAACCCCAGACAGACACUUGAUAGAAUAUGCAAUGUGCUUGUGACAGAGCUUGUAAUAAAUUAAUAUAUGAAUAAAAAUUAGAAAGGUAUAAAUAAGAUAUAUGUAUUUGUAAUAAUAUAAAAUACAAAAUGUAAAAAGUCCUUCUCGAGGUCGGGUCGGGAUUUUCCUCCGAAAAGCAACAGAUUGCAACCAACACCCAAAUAA